rnacentral:lncRNA from 1 species
AGCCUGGAUGGAAGGUGACUGGGGAGGUAGAAAGCAGAUAUUUUCUCCAGUUCCUAUUUGUUGGUUAUUGAAUGGCAAUCAGCAGAUCCCAUUUUGCCUUAUGAUUUCAAAGUGAAAUUUUCCUUGAGUGGAGCCUAAUCUGUGCUUGAGUGUAAUGAAUGACCUGUGCAGACACAGGCAGAAAACUUCACACUGCAAGAAAGAGCUUCCCAUGAGCUGUUAAGGGAUGCAGUUAUUGAAAUCAAAGACUGGAAGCAAUUUUUAAAUGCCCAAAGAUGGGUUAUUCAAACUUUGAAAGACCAGCUUCACUACAGUGUGGCAUAGUCACUGAUGUUGCAGUGUGGUGUGAGAAUGCAGAACAUUUCCCUGCAGCAAUCCCAUCUCCUGCACCAAACAGAGGCUCUCCAGUGCACUUAUUUUACAGUGAUUUAGGGACUGAGCCCGAGAGCAGCACAAGCUGUGUUUAAUUUUAUUUCCUGAAGGCACAGACUGAAGCAAUAUUAGAAGCAGACUGCACUGGCCUGUAGAAAACUCACAGUGUUGGAUUUUUUUUUUUCCACUGCUUGCCAAAGCCUCUGACAUCAACCUUACCCCAACAGGGAGCCAGAGGAAGGAGAGGGAGGUGCAAUGGCAGAUGGCAACCCACAAGGAGGCGAGAACUGCAUACUGCACUUUGGCACUCCAUGACAAGGACAACUUUACAGUAACCUACUUUGCUUAUAAAUCGAAUGAGGAUUAUUUGCUAUUUACCCCACCCCCACCCCUAUGUUUGGUCAGAUCACUGCAAGACAGGCAAAAAAAAUCUAAUUAAUUAAUUGACUUAGCUCUGCCAAGCUGUAUUUCUAAUGCUGGGAGGACAUAAGAGAACUGAUUUUAAUAUAGUUAAGCCAGACAUUGUGGAAUUUCAGGCUUUGAUAGGGUUUCAAUGUGUAGAUGAGCUGGGGGACAAAUUUGCCUACCCAGUAAAGGAGCAGUGAGUUUCUCUAUUACCUGGCCUGAAUGCCCCAGAAAUCUGCAGAAACCCAACAGAGGUUUUGCAAUGCUUUCUCCUUGUCUUUGCCUUCAAGCAAAAGCAUGUUCACUGGAGACAGACAACAGAGACAAUUUCAUCUGCAAGCACAGAUUAUGCCUAGGAGUCAAGAGGAGGCAGCUGCACUCCUACCUUUUGUGCUCUUGGGAAACUCAUGCCAAUGCCAAGAAACUGCAGGAGCAGCUCCAGCACUGUUACACAGCCACCUUCACUCAGAAGUGUUGUGUUCUCUAAAAACCAGCUGUUUUCCACACCAAGCCAUGAAGUGGGACCACCUGAUGUCCCAGGCCACCUCAGACAAGUUAGACAGCAUGGCAAGGGUUGCAAAUGGAGAGGCGUCCACCUCUCUGCUGUGA